CCUGCCAGCAGUCACUCUGCCUGUCCUCUGCCAGGGACCAGGAACAUCCCUGCCAGUAUGGGCACCUGUGGCUGGUUCAGUGAAGACAUCCUCAGCAGCAGUGGGAAAGGGAUCAUGCAGUUCUUAAGUGAGUGCCUGGCCAACUGCUUGCAGAAGUUGCAGCAGUUGGAGCAGGAGAAUGAGAAGCAGGGGUGGUGCUGAGAGCCAGCAGUGGAGCAAACGGCAGUGCCCUGACAUAUGCUCCAAUUACUGCUCACACUUUGAGACCAUUAAGGAGCUCCAACAAAAAGUAAAUGCUUGGUUGGCUGUCCAGGUGGACAAUGUGAAAAUAGCUGUGACAACUUUAGGGAGUUGGCUGGGCCCAGCCAAUGAGUGGAGACCAACAUAAACAGCCUGCACAGGCUCCUGGGUGAUGUGGGUCUGCGCCAGGGAGAGCUGGAGGUGCAGUAAGAGUCCCUAAGGGAGGAGUUUCUGUGUUCGAAAAAUAACCGUGAGGACAAGCUCCGGAUUGAGUUGGGGACUGAGCCCACUGCGGACCUGAGCAGUCAGAGGAGAUGUGGGGCCAGUAUGAGGCCGUGGUGGAGACCAGCUGCCAGGAUGUGGAGCAGUGGUUCCAAGCCCAGAUGGUGAACACCCUGGAGGUGGAGCUUCAGGCUCAGCACACGCUGGUGAGUCCCUCCUGUGUGAAGCUGAGGACCACUACGGCAUGGAGCUGGCCCAGCUGCAGAGCCUCAUCAGCAGUGUAGAAGAGCAGCUGUCCAAGAGUUAGGCUGACCUAGAGUGGCAGAGCCAGGAGUACCAGGAGCAGCUGGAUAUCAGGGCCCAACUGGAGGGUGAGAUCACCAUGUACUGGAACCUUCUGGGGAACAAAGGCUGCAAGUGCAAGAGGCCAUGUAAUCCAUGUACCACA
rnacentral:lncRNA from 1 species